rnacentral:sRNA from 2 species
AAGAAAAUGUCGGCAACCCUAACCUUAACCCCAACUCUGCAGUGCAGAUGCGAUUCGUGUACCUCUCAGAGUGCAAAAAGGCGAUACUAGGAAAAUAGAAAACCAUCCAUGUUGAAUGAAGCGAAAACAUACAACAGGAGAACUAUGGCCUUGCUCACUCAUGGUGGUUAGAUCAAGCUAGCAUGUUCAGCUGCUGUGUUUGAGUGAUGUUCACAUGAUAUUUCAGUGAUCUUUUGAAAUACCAUCUGUAUCACAAUCUGUACAGAUGUAAGAGAUGACUGAGACAAUUGACUCCCUGAAAAUGUGAGGCUCUAGCUGCAGAAGCAAGAGGAGAAACAAAGAAGAGAGAAGGUCGACAGAAAGGAGGAGAAACAAUAAAGAAAGAAGCUAUAAA